AACGAACGCUGGCGGCAUGCCUAACACAUGCAAGUCGAACGAGAUCUUCGGGUCUAGUGGCGCACGGGUGCGGAACGCGUGGGAAUCUGCCCUUUGGUUCGGAAUAACAGUUGGAAACGACUGCUAAUACCGGAUGAUGACGAAAGUCCAAAGAUUUAUCGCCAGAGGAUGAGCCCGCGUAGGAUUAGCUAGUUGGUGUGGUAAAGGCGCACCAAGGCGACGAUCCUUAGCUGGUCUGAGAGGAUGAUCAGCCACACUGGGACUGAGACACGGCCCAGACUCCUACGGGAGGCAGCAGUGGGGAAUAUUGGACAAUGGGCGAAAGCCUGAUCCAGCAAUGCCGCGUGAGUGAUGAGGGCCUUAGGGUUGUAAAGCUCUUUUACCCGGGAUGAUAAUGACAGUACCGGGAGAAUAAGCUCCGGCUAACUACGUGCCAGCCGCCGCCGUAA
rnacentral:rRNA from 1 species